rnacentral:rRNA from 1 species
GACGAACGCUGGCGGCGUGCUUAACACAUGCAAGUCGAACGGAAAGGCCCUGCUUUUGUGGGGUGCUCGAGUGGCGAACGGGUGAGUAACACGUGAGUAACCUUCCCUUGACUUUGGGAUAACUUCAGGAAACUGGGGCUAAUACCGGAUAGGAGCUCCUGCUGCAUGGUGGGGGUUGUACAGUUUCGGCGGUUGGGGAUGGACUCGCGGCUUAUCAGCUUGUUGGUGGGGUAGUGGCUUACCAAGGCUUUGACGGGUAGCCGGCCUGAGAGGGUGACCGGCCACAUUGGGACUGAGAUACGGCCCAGACUCCUACGGGAGGCAGCAGUGGGGAAUAUUGCACAAUGGGCGGAAGCCUGAUGCAGCAACGCCGCGUGCGGGAUGACGGCCUUCGGGUUGUAAACCGCUUUCGCCUGUGACGAAGCGUGAGUGACGGUAAUGGGUAAAGAAGCACCGGCUAACUACGUG